AAAUUUCCACAAGAAAACAGAGAUUUUCAACUAGAAUAGAAGACGACAAUACAUCCUAACCUAUUAAAGAAGUUCAUCAUGCCACACAUGAAAAUUUUGGUGCUUGAUAUAGGGAAAGGAUAUAAUCAGUCCAUUUAUUUGCAAAAUGAUCUGUUAUGGGCACAAUCACUAAGCAGCUGGUAGAUAGUUAUAUUUGUUGCUUUUUCCAAUUGUCUUUAUUUGAUGGAAGUGGCGUUCAUGUAUGUAGGGUAGUUGUGCUACACCAAAAAUCAGGCCUUUCAAACUCUCAAGUGGGCUCCACCUGUUAGAUGGGCUACAAGUUGUCACUGCUCCUCAUCAAACGACUUCCGCCAAAGGUUGGAUAUGAUAUGCUAAAAAAACACUUGGCUCAUAUACCACCUUUAUUUCUUCUGUGAAGAUUCCACAACAAGGAAUCGGGGCAACCAUCAAGCAUCACAUUUCCAAAAAAAUGGGUCUAAUAUAAGUUCUAAUAGUCCAAAUACCCACCCUUGUGACUUUGGUGCUGCUUAUUAUAAGAAUAUUAUAUGACAUGGUUUUGGCUCAUGUGAAAUCAUGCUUCUAUCACGGUGACCAUUGUUAGUUUUUUUUUUUUUUUUUUUCCUCGUGAAAUUGAAAGUACUUUUGGACAGGGAUCUUGCAGAAUCAGGAUUAAGCUCUAAUCUCAAUUUUGACAACCCAUGCCCUCCAUGUCAGAUUUGAAGGAGAAACAAGAAGUUGUCAUCAAAAAGGAUGUUCGAAAUAAAUGCAAAUGUGUCACAAUUGUGAAAGGCCUUGAACUCUUUGGUGAGCAAUGUCCAUCGAAAAGAUCACCCCAUUAAGCCAUACUUCACCUCUGUUAUGUAUUGGAGCAUUGGUGUGAAGAUCAUUUUAACAGCCUGACAUUGGGAGACCCUGAUUUUGCCCAUAUUGAAAUGCUGCCACCCCACAUUGAAUUACUAGUUGCAGCAGUCACACAAAUCAAUGAACCUGACAGCAUAUAUGGGAUCAUCCAAUCACACAAGUUUAUUCAAUUGCUGUGAGAGAUGCAGAGAAUAAGACCUGGUUUGUGAAAAGAACUCUUUGGUGAGCAAUCAGCAAUGUCCAUUGAAAAGAUCACCCCAUUAAGGCAGAUGUGCCUGUUGAAAUGAAGCCAAAUUCUGUUUAAGACAGAUUUGUCUUCAAGUAUGAAUUCUAGCUCAGUAUGCAAGGUUGAACAGAUUGAAGGGAAUACAGGUUCUCGAGGAGUAGACAUGGAUGGUGCAAACAUAUCAAUAUCUGGAGGUGUGGAUUCAUCUAUUCAAAGAAAAUGCAGUUCUGUAUGCCUAGACACCACUGUCUUGAAGAUGCAUCCUUCAGGAAACAAUGAUUCAUCUGUUGAAUUGAAGUCUACUUUAUUGUCCAGUGAUGUGCUUCACAAAAGAUUCAGCAACCCAUUGAUUACUUUCAGUCGAAGAACCGAAAAGAAAGAGCAAGUGGAUGAGGCAGAUAUUCCAAAGAAGUCAGUUGAGGGGAUGAAAUUUUCACUGGUCAAAUGGAACAACUGCACAUUAGGUGUAAGUGGCUCACCGAAAGGAUCCCCUCAAAGAUGUAACUCAGUAGAUCAGUCGACUGCUACUAUUAUAUUUAGAGAGGAUCCAAACAUGAGCCCUUUGCUUUUUUAGAGACAAGAUGAGGGAAAACACUCGUGUCCAUCAAGGCGUCGUUUAGCAAUGUUGCUAACGUGCUCCUCGACUGGAAUGCUGAUGGCAACGAAGAUCAUUUCUCCUCGCGUGGUUUUGCUUGCAACAAUCUCUCUUUCGCCGUCGUUUCUCUGAAUUUCUUGAAUUUGAAUCUCGGCGGGGAGAUUUCGCCAGCCAUUGGGGAUUUACAGAGCUUAUAGGCACUAGAUUUGAAGGGGAAUCAGCUGACCAGGUCAAUCCUUGAUGAGAUCAGCAAUUGCGUCUUGCUGAAAUCUCUGGAUUUAUCUGGCAACUUGUUAUAUGGAGAUAUUCCGUUCUCGACAUGUAGGCUCAAACAGCUUGAGGAAUUGACAUUGAAGAACAAUCAGUUAACAAGGCCUAUCCCUUCAACCCUUUCACAGAUGCCAAAUCUCAGAACUCUGUAAGGUUGUUGUCACUUAUAUUUGAGGGAUCUUGCUCAGAAUCAGCUCACUGGUGACAUUUCGAGGUUGAUUUACUGGAAUGAAGUAUUGCAGUAUCUGUGAGUACUUCCUCCACUCUGUGUACUCCAUGUAAAUCAUAAUUUAUAAGUCUAUCUCAAAUUAGUUCUAGUUCAUCUAGUAAUUUGGUAUGUUUUAGAGUCGCCCAUUAUUGUGACCACACUAUGGGUUGUGUUAUGUAAUGUGAUGGCCACUUU